ACACCGUGAUAAGGACAUAGUCACGUCAUGUCCUUAUAUCAUUCACAUGCUUCGAAAAUUGAUUCUCCUUAUGUCUGUCUAAACGUAGGUAUAUGAUUUCUUAGUAU